rnacentral:rRNA from 1 species
AACGAACGCUGGCGGCAGGCCUAACACAUGCAAGUCGAACGCAUCCCUCGGGGUGAGUGGCAGACGGGUGAGUAACGCGUGGGAACCUACCUUUGGGUCUGGAAUAACUGAGGGAAACUUCAGCUAAUACCGGAUAGUCCCGUAAGGGUAAAGAUUUAUCGCCUGAAGAUGGGCCCGCGCAGGAUUAGCUAGUUGGUGGGGUAAUGGCCUACCAAGGCGACGAUCUGUAGCGGGUCUGAGAGGAUGAUCCGCCACACUGGGACUGAGACACGGCCCAGACUCCUACGGGAGGCAGCAGUGGGGAAUUUUGGACAAUGGGCGCAAGCCUGAUCCAGCCAUGCCGCGUGCGGGACGAAGGCCUCGGUUGUAACGCGUUCUAGCCGGAAGAAAUACGCCAAGGC